CUGUAAAUUCAAAUAAAUGGAGUAAAAAGUACAAUAUGUACCUCUGAGAUGUGGAGGAGUAGAAGUAGAAAGGAGCAGAACAUGGAAACACUCAAGUACAAGCACCUCAGAUUUGUACGUCAGUA